CCUACGGGAGGCAGCAGUGAGGAAUAUUGGUCAAUGGCCGUAAGGCUGAACCAGCCAAGUCGCGUGAAGGAAGAAGGAUCUAUGGUUUGUAAACUUCUUUUAUAGGGGAAUAACGCGCCUUACGUGUAGGGCUUUGCAUGUACCGUAUGAAUAAGGACCGGCUAAUUCCGUGCCAGCAGCCGCGGUAAUACGGAAGGUCCGGGCGUUAUCCGGAUUUAUGGGGUUUAAAGGGAGCGUAGGCCGCAUGUCAAGCGUGCUGUGAAAUGUCCGGGCUCAACCCGGGCCUUGCAGCGCGAACUGGCGUGCUUGAGUCCGCGGAAAGCAGGCGGAAUUCGUGGUGUAGCGGUGAAAUGCUUAGAUAUGACGAAGAACCCCGAUUGCGAAGGCAGCUUGCUGCAGCGGAACUGACGCUGAUGCUCGAAAGCGCGGGUAUCGAACAGGAUUAGAUACCCUAGUAGUC
rnacentral:rRNA from 1 species